AAAUUGAAGAGUUUGAUCAUGGCUCAGAUUGAACGCUGGCGGCAGGCCUAACACAUGCAAGUCGAGCGGUAGCACAGAGAGCUUGCUCUCGGGUGACGAGCGGCGGACGGGUGAGUAAUGUCUGGGAAACUGCCUGAUGGAGGGGGAUAACUACUGGAAACGGUAGCUAAUACCGCAUAAUGUCGCAAGACCAAAGUGGGGGACCUUCGGGCCUCAUGCCAUCAGAUGUGCCCAGAUGGGAUUAGCUAGUAGGUGGGGUAACGGCUCACCUAGGCGACGAUCCCUAGCUGGUCUGAGAGGAUGACCAGCCACACUGGAACUGAGACACGGUCCAGACUCCUACGGGAGGCAGCAGUGGGGAAUAUUGCACAAUGGGCGCAAGCCUGAUGCAGCCAUGCCGCGUGUGUGAAGAAGGCCUUCGGGUUGUAAAGCACUUUCAGCGGGGAGGAAGGCGAUAAGGUUAAUAACCUCAUCGAUUGACGUUACCCGCAGAAGAAGCACCGGCUAACUCCGUGCCAGCAGCCGCGGUAAUACGGAGGGUGCAAGCGUUAAUCGGAAUUACUGGGCGUAAAGCGCACGCAGGCGGUCUGUCAAGUCGGAUGUGAAAUCCCCGGGCUCAACCUGGGAACUGCAUUCGAAACUGGCAGGCUAGAGUCUUGUAGAGGGGGGUAGAAUUCCAGGUGUAGCGGUGAAAUGCGUAGAGAUCUGGAGGAAUACCGGUGGCGAAGGCGGCCCCCUGGACAAAGACUGACGCUCAGGUGCGAAAGCGUGGGGAGCAAACAGGAUUAGAUACCCUGGUAGUCCACGCCGUAAACGAUGUCGAUUUGGAGGUUGUGCCCUUGAGGCGUGGCUUCCGGAGCUAACGCGUUAAAUCGACCGCCUGGGGAGUACGGCCGCAAGGUUAAAACUCAAAUGAAUUGACGGGGGCCCGCACAAGCGGUGGAGCAUGUGGUUUAAUUCGAUGCAACGCGAAGAACCUUACCUGGUCUUGACAUCCACAGAACUUUCCAGAGAUGGAUUGGUGCCUUCGGGAACUGUGAGACAGGUGCUGCAUGGCUGUCGUCAGCUCGUGUUGUGAAAUGUUGGGUUAAGUCCCGCAACGAGCGCAACCCUUAUCCUUUGUUGCCAGCGGUUAGGCCGGGAACUCAAAGGAGACUGCCAGUGAUAAACUGGAGGAAGGUGGGGAUGACGUCAAGUCAUCAUGGCCCUUACGACCAGGGCUACACACGUGCUACAAUGGCAUAUACAAAGAGAAGCGACCUCGCGAGAGCAAGCGGACCUCAUAAAGUAUGUCGUAGUCCGGAUUGGAGUCUGCAACUCGACUCCAUGAAGUCGGAAUCGCUAGUAAUCGUAGAUCAGAAUGCUACGGUGAAUACGUUCCCGGGCCUUGUACACACCGCCCGUCACACCAUGGGAGUGGGUUGCAAAAGAAGUAGGUAGCUUAACCUUCGGGAGGGCGCUUACCACUUUGUGAUUCAUGACUGGGGUGAAGUCGUAACAAGGUAACCGUAGGGGAACCUGCGGUUGGAUCACCUCCUUACCUUAAAGAA
rnacentral:rRNA from 1 species